rnacentral:rRNA from 1 species
UACGGAGGGGGCGAGCGUUGUUCGGAAUCACUGGGCGUAAAGAGUGCGUAGGCGGUUAUACAAGUCAGAAGUGAAAUCCCAGGGCUCAACCUUGGAAUUGCUUUUGAGACUGUAUGACUAGAGAUCUAGAGAGGUUGGGGGAAUUCCGAGUGUAGAGGUGAAAUUCGCAGAUAUUCGGAGGAACACCAGUGGCGUAGGCGCCCAACUGGCUAGAUACUGACGCUGAGGCACGAAAGCGUGGGGAGCAAACAGG